CAAGAAUCUAGUUUAGUAUUUACAGGUGGCCAGCAAGGCACGGCAGAAGCUGAGGAUUUAUUGUGGGUCUUUACCCUGAGGCACAGAGACGGCUGCACCUGUGCAGGUGAUAAGAUCAUGAACUGCACCCUUUGCCUUACUUUUUUGUUGUAAAUAAUUUGCCUGAUUCAAUGCCAUAUUAUGGAAGAAUUUCUUAACUGUGAUGAAAGCACUUGGAAAAUCCUCAAAUAAUAUUUCAUGCAGACAUAUAACUGAAAGAAAGACAAAUGCAUAUACAGGAAAACAACUGCUGCUCUUCUCAUGUUGGAUGAGGCCUGCUAAAAACACCUGACACCAGCUGUUAGUCUGAUCCUUGAUGUCUGGUACAAUCUUGGGUUAUUCUCCUUGGAAAAGUGGAUGCUCAGAAGUGCCAGUAUCCCCGGAAUAAGUCUCUUGAGAUCUGAUGGUUUUAUGAAGAGGAGUUCUGCACAAGCUGUCUCUCUUUGCCUUUUGCCAUCCACGUAAGUGACACAAGCAGAAUCAACCUUUGGAAGAUCAUCUAUUUCCUGCUGGGUUGACUGGAAUGUGUGAUACGACCUAAGUAACUGACAGCCUGUGUGCAGAGUUCCUAAAUAACGAAGCCAGACCAUCAUUGCUAUGGGUGAAGCCAGGAAGUGACUGUGGAUGUGAACAAAUGUGAGAUUCAUGUACACGUCUCCAAAGACAGAGGCCACUGAUCUGGGGAGAACCUGCAGUCAUUUCACUUUCCCAUACCCAGAUGAGAGGACACCUUGAUCUGUGUUCAUCUGAUGAACUCUAAAAUCUGGACCAUAUUCUGAAGGUGUAGUUCACACUUCUUUUCUGUGCUAGUGGGACUCUCUCACUGACGUGUAUUGUACCCUCUGCAUAGGACAGUCUGUGAUACAUACUACUUGUUUUCUGCUAAACACCCAUCAAUCAUGUCAUUUAUGAGUCUUCCAUAGGUGUUACCUAACCUAUGGCUAUGGGGUCUUCCAAAAGAAUGGGCCAGAGGUGGAGCUGUGAAACUGUAGCUGGAUAAAAAGUGUAAAUGUCAAGAAAGGGUAUUGAAGUGGUGAUAAUAAUAAUAAUAAUCCAAAUUAGUCUGGGCUCUUGGCUGUGAUUACUGGUAAAUGUGAAAGAGUCUAGGUUUGGUUUUUAUUAGUUUUAUUUCAACUGAUAAAGUAGCCAGAGUAAAGUGCAUAAAUCUUGAAUGUUCAACUGAAUACAGUUUUUGUGUAAUUCAUUGUCCGAAUGGAAUGAUAGAAUAUUUCACAUUCCCUUGUGCUUCCCUCAUGGACAAUCUUUGUCAGUUAUCACCCCUCUCACCCAGC
rnacentral:lncRNA from 1 species